GUUUUGGAAGCGACAGCGAGGCAGGUUGUUAUUUGUUGCAUGUACUGCUGAGGGAUGUGUGCAGGGCACUGCUUUUGAGGAGCCUGGAGGACCUGGACAUGGAGCCUCCUGCCCAACAGGCUCAGGAGAGAUUGCUCUUUCCUUGCAGAAGGACCACGUGUCUCCUACUGCUGUGAUUGAGCCAGAGGUGGAAAGGGGUGUGAGUUUGGCACUUGCAAAAGCCAUUGUAGUGACAGCUGAGCAGCACGAUUGUUCCUUUGCCUUCCAUUCCUUCCAUUCCAGAUGUCUUGGCCAGGAGCAGCCUUACAGCACUUGGCCUGGCAGCUGAUUUCUUUUUGUCUGGAGAAAGAUAAUAAGAGAUAAUGGAUGCUAAACACUGUAUUUAAUGUCCCAACAGGAAGAAGACUAAGGGAGGAGCCUGGUGAGCCUGACCUGGGACCACAGAGGAUCUCAGAGAACAUCCAGCACCGCUGGAACUGAGCACCCAGGGCAGUGAGAUGGACUCUCCCCACCUCAUGGGGUUGUGUUUCCUGCUCCUGGCUGUUGCAGCUCCCUGUCCAAAUAUUGCCAUGGCCAGUGGUCACCCAGCUGAGAGGACACAUGACUCUUCCUCUGGCAAAACAAAUGUGACAGUCGACUACCGUAAAGACUGUGCAAUGAGCUUAUGUGAAACAGGCAGCUAUGAAAGAUUUGUAAAAAUUGCUGAAAUAGAAAAUUAGGUGUUUUCAAAUGGAAAAUUGAGUUGGUGACCAAGGAAAAACACAUCCUUAUGUGCUUUCAGCAAGCAAAUACUUUUCCUGAAGGAAUUUCUGACAUCAUCUGCCUUAAAACGAUGGGAGCGAGAUACUUGUGUGGCAUCCUGAAUUCUGCAGCUUUCUCAGCAAAUGGGAGAGGUAGCAUCAGUCCUGAGGAGAAUAAAAUUUGCUGUGAAGCAGAAACAAAUGUCUGGGAGUCCAAUCCUACGUUGAAGUGCCACAUUGAAAUGUCAGAUGCAGAAACUGGAAAACCAACAACUGGCAUCCUUGGUGAGGAAAUUCCAGGUAAUCCUGAAUUUCCCACCAGGAAUGAGGGCAUGAUCUCCCUCACAUUCCUGCUGUGCGUUGUGGUUUGGGCAGGAAUGGUCUCUGUGUAUUCCUAUUGCUGGCAUUGGAUUAGUCAAGCUCUUAGGGAACACAGACAAGCUUCAGAAGAAAAAAAGCUCAACUAUGUUUGAAGACCAUCUACAAAUAAGAAGACCUCUAUGCCAGCAGCAUCUUCCUCUGUCCUGAUGUACAGCAACCAGCUAAAGCAACAGAGGCUGAUUUCCAUGAGACCUCAUGGUCCCAUAUUCACAAACGGUCUUUUUUUCACAAAUGCACCUUCACCACAUCCACAUGUUCACCGAGGACUGUGAUUGCCACAGUUGUCCAGCUCCAGGCCUUCAUGAGCAGCACGAGCAGCACCCUGGAUCUCCCAUCCUCUGGCGGUGUUUGGCUGAGGACAGCAGCUAUCACAAGGUGUGUGGCUGACUCAGCAGCACAGCCUUAAACCUGCUGAAUUGUCUCCAGCUGUGUGCUCUGCUUUCUGGAGAUGUCUAUAGGAUUCGUCCUCAGCAAGUGCUUUGUGUUUUUCAAUAUGCAUAGAUAGGCAAAUAUUUUUAUUCACAGAAUUAUGGAAUGGUUUGGGUUGGAAGAUCAUCUGACGAAAUAAAAAAAGGACAAACAGUACUAAGAUGCCUAAC
ensembl:lncRNA